ensembl:snoRNA SNORD15 Small nucleolar RNA SNORD15
CUUCAGUGAUGAUACGAUGACGAGUCUGAAAAGGAUCUCCCCUGCUAAGGGCAUCCUGCUCAGUGUCACGUUCUGUUAUGCUGUGUUUGGAUUCCUUAGUGGGAAUGUCCUCUUUCAUGGAUGAUUUAGAGGCAUUUGUCUGAGAAGG